AGAGAGAGAGAGAGAGAGAGAGAGAGAGGCUUCUGUGCUUCACAUUCACAGGACUUUACCGAUGUAGAUCUAUCCUUGGAAUCUUUAGUUUGUCUUCUGGAGAAAUUCAUAGCCUUUCUCUUCUUAAAAUAUGUCCUUGGGAAAGACGCAUCAUUCUGUAUGAUAUUGCAAUUAUUUCUGCUCUUUUGACACUGAAAAAUGUACAUUAGGUACAACAUAUUGGUGAUUUGCCCCAAUAGAUAAUGAUAGUUUCUUCUAAGUGACUUGCUCUUUUUUAUGCAGUCUCUGAUUUAAAAUUAUCAAACACUCUCAACACUGAGUAACCUUUCAGAACAUAAAUGUAUACAUGAAUAUUAUGUUUCUGUAGAAUUAUGGCAUACAUUGUACCUUCUUGUACAAAAAUAGUAAGUAACUCUAAACUAUAUUUACCCACUGAAAUCCUUCUAUUGAUAAUAUGACAACAGAGCAAAAAAUCAAAAUCGAAACACUCAUUGAUCAAAUCAAAAGAGCAUUGCUUAAAUAAAUUGGGUUGUUCACCAAGAUGAUUACUUACUUAACAAUCUAGCUAUAUUAUUCAAAAUAAAGGAAAUAAGCUUUUUUUUAAAAAAAAAAAUCUAUGUUGAUCAGCAUUACCAAAUUACAACCCAAAAAAAAGGCUGCAGUUACUUUGAAUUGAUAUGAAUAGGCUGCCACUGGAUGGUGCUGCUGUUAUGCAAUUUUACUUCUCAUGUCUGCUUAAUGUGGUCAUUGUGAGACUAAAUGAAAAGUUAAGGUAUGCAAUACAGUGCCUACGACAAGGAAACUUGUUAUUCUUGGCCCCUAUAGCCAAAGGGAAAGAAAAAUAUUGCUACCUUUAUUCAUUCUGUGAGGCUCAAAUCAGGAUAAUAAAACAGGCUUCCUACUAGCUUUAUUUUAAAGAUAUGCCAUUCUAUACCACAGUCACAUUUCCAAUGAUGGCAUGCCUGAAAAGGGGGCAUAAACCAAGUCAGCUCUGUAAUAUCUACAUAUUCAUACGAUGUCUAAUUAUCUAUAAAGUGAUGUUGUUAUUGAAACUGUCACAUGGAAUGCCUUUCCAACAAAAAUACUUGCUUUUAAAACAGCAGGGGUUCCUUCAUUAUCUACAUAUUAGAAUUUUUUGUUAAAAAUAUUUGACACCUUUAUGCAAAUGUAGCGUAUUGCGCCAAAUAGAUAAGAAAGUAAAUAGGGUUUUUGAAAGCCUUUCACUUUAGAAAGAGAGAGAGAGAGAGAGAUGUAUACUCAGUAUACAUUUGCAUUUCAAGAUACAAGUAAUUCUAUCAAAAAUAUGCUUGCGUUUGAAGAUGCAGUUUAAUAACAGGUUAGGUGUUGAGUGCCAGAAUGCUUUUUGAAUAGGAAAAACUAAAAUUGACUCAAUUGUUCAAGGAAACUGAAGCUUACUUCAUAAUGUAAAUCCCUGUUAUGAAAUUCUGUAAAUGGGAAAAAUUCCAGUGAAGGUAAAAAAAGGUGCUCACCAGAAUUUGUAAAGAAGGCUAAUUAGCAGGAAAAAAGAAAUAGAAACAAUUUAGGUCUCAGUGCAACAAUGACAAUGGUGAGAGGAUAUUCAAUUAAAUCAGCUAUCAAUAGGGUGCCAGUUCUAAGAUGCUGGGCUGGAAGAUGGCUAUAGGUUUCACCCAGGCCCUCUCUAGCCUCCAGAUUUUCUUGAAUUAGCUGCAGUUCUGCCCUUCACUGUCUUAUCUUCUUAGUGUAUGUAGUCUAUUUCCUGCUACUUUUUUUCAUGUGGUUUUCUCAAUCUCUCCUGUUUUGUAGCUCAUACUCUUUUUCAGAAUAGCCUAAUCCAUUCACACCCCCCCCCCCCCCAAAAAUCCUUCCCAUAAAUUCCUAUGGCUGCUACUUAGGGACAAAAAAAGAUUGUGCUCCAUCUAAGUAUUAGGGCUAUAUUUUAUUCCAUAAAAGGUAGGUGUGCCCCUAUCGGUUCACUUCAUCUAAGUGUUCACUCUGUCCGGGUACAUUUGAUCUGUUUUGGAUUAGGAAUGAGUACAGGUACAAAGAUUCUGAUUAACAUCUGAACAUACUGUAUGAGUGCAUGUAUGGGGUUUUGUCCGAAUGCCCUUUCUGUCCUAUAGAAUUAGAUGGAGUCAGUUAAAGUGUUUCUUUAGUCUUGGCUGGUCCAUCAUGUAUAUCUAGACUAAAGAAUCUUUGAAAAUUUACUGGUAAGUUUAGGACACAAGAGCUCUGCAGUAUGAGUCCAAAGACCCAUGUAGUUCAGUAUUCUGUCUCCCAGAUUACGCAAUUCCACAAGUAAGACAUGCUGUUAUCCUCCAGCAGCUGGUAUCCAGAGACUUAUAGUCAUUACGAGAAGUAACUGCUGAUAGCUUUAUCCUUGUGAAUGUGUCUAAUCCACUUUUAAAGCCUGCUGUAUUUGUGGAGGUCACUACAUCUUGUUAAACUAUUCGACAAUUUAACUAGGCAAGUUUCUUGCUAUUUUUCUAUAACUUAAACUGAUGCAUGUUUUAAUAGCAUCUUGUUAUGCUACAUCAGGGGUCCCCAAACUUUUAAAGCAGAGGGCCGGUCCACAAUCCUUCAGACUGUUGAGGGGCCAAAUUAUCA